rnacentral:tRNA from 1 species
GCGAAGGUGGCGGAAUUGGUAGACGCGCUAGCUUCAGGUGUGUUAGUGCGUGUUCUACGGACGUAAAAUUCGUCCCCUCGCACCA